CUUGGGUGGAUGGCAAAGGUCAUGCACCACAGCUUGGAUUGGCACCAAAUCACUCUAUCUGUCCCCUUUCUCAGCUGUGCAAGAGGAAGAAACUACUAUAGAGAGCAAUUCAUAGAGUAUUAUCACGAGAAGAGACAGUUUUUUGACUUGUUCCAGCACAGUGUCUGUGAGAAAAAGGUGCUUUCAGGUCAACACCAGCUAUUUCAGGAAAAGACGCUGGCAAUAUCAGACCAGGGCUUCCAUCAGUGAAGUCACACAGGUAUCUCUGCUAAAUAUUUUUGUGGCACUGAAUGAGGUUUCUAAUAUGGUAAUUAUGUUUUGAAAGCAGAGAGGCUGUGAAAAAUGGCAGGUAAAGCAGGAAUAACUGAGGCUUCUGGAGCAAGGGACAAGAAGCAAGACAAUAGAGGAAAGAAAUAUUUUAUAAGCCUGUGACUGAAGACUGGGAGGU
rnacentral:lncRNA from 1 species